AGAAAAAAUGCAAGUCGAGCGGACAGAUGGGAGCUUGCUCCCUGAUGUUAGCGGCGGACGGGUGAGUAACACGUGGGUAACCUGCCUGUAAGACUGGGAUAACUCCGGGAAACCGGGGCUAAUACCGGAUGGUUGUUUGAACCGCAUGGUUCAGACAUAAAAGGUGGCUUCGGCUACCACUUACAGAUGGACCCGCGGCGCAUUAGCUAGUUGGUGAGGUAACGGCUCACCAAGGCGACGAUGCGUAGCCGACCUGAGAGGGUGAUCGGCCACACUGGGACUGAGACACGGCCCAGACUCCUACGGGAGGCAGCAGUAGGGAAUCUUCCGCAAUGGACGAAAGUCUGACGGAGCAACGCCGCGUGAGUGAUGAAGGUUUUCGGAUCGUAAAGCUCUGUUGUUAGGGAAGAACAAGUGCCGUUCAAAUAGGGCGGCACCUUGACGGUACCUAACCAGAAAGCCACGGCUAACUACGUGCCAGCAGCCGCGGUAAUACGUAGGUGGCAAGCGUUGUCCGGAAUUAUUGGGCGUAAAGGGCUCGCAGGCGGUUUCUUAAGUCUGAUGUGAAAGCCCCCGGCUCAACCGGGGAGGGUCAUUGGAAACUGGGGAACUUGAGUGCAGAAGAGGAGAGUGGAAUUCCACGUGUAGCGGUGAAAUGCGUAGAGAUGUGGAGGAACACCAGUGGCGAAGGCGACUCUCUGGUCUGUAACUGACGCUGAGGAGCGAAAGCGUGGGGAGCGAACAGGAUUAGAUACCCUGGUAGUCCACGCCGUAAACGAUGAGUGCUAAGUGUUAGGAGGUUUCCGCCCCUUAGUGCUGCAGCUAACGCAUUAAGCACUCCGCCUGGGGAGUACGGUCGCAAGACUGAAACUCAAAGGAAUUGACGGGGGCCCGCACAAGCGGUGGAGCAUGUGGUUAAUUCGAAGCAACGCGAAGAACCUUACCAGGUCUUGACAUCCUCUGACAAUCCUAGAGAUAGGACGUCCCCUUCGGGGGCAGAGUGACAGGUGGUGCAUGGUUGUCGUCAGCUCGUGUCGUGAGAUGUUGGGUUAAGUCCCGCAACGAGCGCACCCUUGAUCUUAGUUGCCAGCAUUCGUUGG
rnacentral:rRNA from 1 species